rnacentral:rRNA from 1 species
ACUCAAAUGAAUAGACGGGGGCCCGCACAAGCGGCGGAGCAUGUUGCUUAAUUCGAGGCGACGCGAAGAACCUUACCUGGGUUGAACUACGCAGGAAAAGCCAUAGAGAUAUGGUGUCCUUCGGGGCCUGUGAUAGGUGGUGCAUGGCUGUCGUCAGCUCGUGUCGUGAGAUGUUGGGUUAAGUCCCGCAACGAGCGCAACCCUUGUCCUGUGUUGCCAGCACGUCAUGGUGGGGACUCGCAGGAGACUGCCGGGGUCAACUCGGAGGAAGGUGGGGACGAGGUCAAGUCAUCAUGCCCCUUAUGUCCAGGGCUGCAAACAUGCUACAAUGGCCGGUACAACGGGCUGCGACAUCGCGAGAUGAAGCGAAUCCCUUAAAGCCGGUCUCAGUUCGGAUUGGAGUCUGCAACUCGACUCCAUGAAGUUGGAGUCGCUAGUAAUCCCGGAUCAGCAACGCCGGGGUGAAUACGUUCCCGGGCCUUGCACACACCGCCCGU